GACGAACCGGACAAACGUUAUUCGGAAUUACUGGGCUUAAAGGGUUUGUAGGCGGCCUUGUAAGUCAGGUGUGAAAUCCCUCGGCUCAACCGAGGAAUAGCGCUUGAUACUGCAAGGCUUGAGGGAGACAGGGGUAAGCGGAACUGAUGGUGGAGCGGUGAAAUGCGUUGAUAUCAUCAGGAACACCGGUGGCGAAAGCGGCUUACUGGGUCUCUUCUGACGCUGAGGAACGAAAGCUAGGGAGCGAACAGG
rnacentral:rRNA from 1 species